rnacentral:snRNA from 1 species
GUGCCCGCUUCGGCAGCACAUAUAUUAAAAUUGGAACAAUACAGAGAAGAUUAACUUGGACCCUGUGCAAGGAUGACAUAUACAUUUAUGAAGCAUUCUAUAUUAAA